rnacentral:rRNA from 1 species
GCGCAAUGAAAGUGAAGGAUGCCCGUGCCGGCAUCUGCGUUGGGAUCCCGGGACCCCGGUCCCGGGCGCACCAACGGCCCGUCCCACCUGCCUCGUCAGCGGGACGGAGCGAGAGCGUACACGUUGGGACCCGAAAGAUGGUGAACUAUGCCUGGGCAGGACGAGGCCAGAGGAAACUCUGGUGGAGGUCCGCAGCGAUUCUGACGUGCAAAUCGAUCGUCAGACCUUGGUAUAGGGGCGAUAGACUAAUCGAACCGUCUAGUAGCUGGUUCCCUCCGAAGUUUCCCUCAGAUAGCUGGUG